CACAGAUUAUGAGCUUAUGGAUGGGUGGACAGAGACUGUGUGCUGAUGGUUGUGUUCUGAUUUG